rnacentral:rRNA from 1 species
GGAUCUGCCGAAUGGAGGGGGACAACAGUUGGAAACGACUGCUAAUACCGCAUAAUGUCGCGAGACCAAAGCAUGGGACCUUAGGGCCAUGCGCCAUUUGAUGAACCCAUAUGGGAUUAGCUAGUAGGUGAGGUAAUGGCUCACCUAGGCGACGAUCUCUAGCUGGCCUGAGAGGAUGACCAGCCACACUGGGACUGAGACACGGCCCAGACUCCUACGGGAGGCAGCAGUGGGGAAUAUUGCACAAUGGGGGAAACCCUGAUGCAGCCAUGCCGCGUGUAUGAAGAAGGCCUUCGGGUUGUAAAGUACUUUCGGUAGCGAGGAAGGGGUUAUAUCUAAUAGGUGUAACCAUUGACGUUAACUACAGAAGAAGCACCGGCUAACUCCGUGCCAGCAGCCGCGGUAAUACGGAGGGUGCGAGCGUUAAUCGGAAUGACUGGGCGUAAAGGGCAUGUAGGCGGAUAGUUAAGUUAGGUGUGAAASCCCCGGGCUCAACCUGGRAAUUGCAUUUAAAACUGGUUAUCUGGAGUAUUG